rnacentral:rRNA from 1 species
AGAGUUUGAUCCUGGCUCAGGACGAACGCUGGCGGCGUGCCUAAUACAUGCAAGUCGAACGGUCUUUUCUAUGGAAGCUUGCUUCCACUGAGAAGAUAGUGGCGAACGGGUGAGUAACACGUGGGUAACCUGCCCAUAAGAGGGGGAUAACAUCCGGAAACGGGUGCUAAUACCGCAUAGUUUUCUUGGUCGCAUGAUCGAGAAAGGAAAGACGGCCUUUGUGCUGUCGCUUAUGGAUGGACCCGCGGCGUAUUAGUUAGUUGGUGAGGUAAUGGCUCACCAAGACGAUGAUACGUAGCCGACCUGAGAGGGUGAUCGGCCACAUUGGGACUGAGACACGGCCCAAACUCCUACGGGAGGCAGCAGUAGGGAAUCUUCCGCAAUGGACGAAAGUCUGACGGAGCAACGCCGCGUGAGCGAAGAARGUUUUCGGAUCGUAAAACUCUGUUGUCAGAGAAGAACAAGUCGGAGAGUAACUGCUCCGGCCUUGACGGUAUCUGACCAGAAAGCACGGCUAACUACGUGCCAGCAGCGCGGUAAUACGUAAGUGGCAAGCGUGUCCGGAUUUAUUGGGCGUAAAGCGAGCGCAGSCGUUCCUUAAGUCUGAUKUGAAAGCCMCGGCUCAACGKGAAGGUCAUUGGAACUGGGGAACUUGRUUGCAGAAGAG